AGCUUUGCGCAGUGCGCAGUAUCGUAGCCUAUGGAGGUCUAUCCGUAGCCCGAUUAUUCCUAGUUGAAAACUUUACCCAAUACCCACGCCGUGACGACUUGAAAUAUAGUCGGCAUUGGCAAGGUUUUUGACGGUCUUAGAGAACUGAUAUUCUUGUUGAAAGUAAAGA
rnacentral:snRNA from 1 species